AGAAUCAACGCUGGCGGCGUGCCUAACACAUGCAAGUCGAACGAGAAAGUGGAGCAAUCCAUGAGUAAAGUGGCGCACGGGUGAGUAACACGUGACUAACCUACCCUUGAGUGGGGAAUAACUUCGGGAAACCGAGGCUAAUACCGCAUAACACCUACGGGUCAAAGGAGCAAUUCGCUUAAGGAGGGGGUCGCGGCAGAUUAGUUAGUUGGCAGGGUAAUGGCCUACCAAGACGGUGAUCUGUAUCCGGCCUGAGAGGGCGCACGGACACACUGGAACUGAAACACGGUCCAGACUCCUACGGGAGGCAGCAGUGGGAAUUUGCGCAAUGGGGGAAACCCUGACGCAGCAACGCCGCGUGGAGGAUGAAGUCCCUUGGGACGUAAACUCCUUUCGAUCGGGACGAUUAUGACGGUACCGGAAGAAGAAGCCCCGGCUAACUUCGCGCCAGCAGCCGC
rnacentral:rRNA from 1 species